rnacentral:rRNA from 1 species
AUGGACCAUACAGAUGUCAGUGUGCUACCUGAUGAUCUAGUUGUGGAAAUCCUCUCCCGGCUGCCGCUCAAGUCUUUUUGCCGCUUCAAAUGUGUCUGCAAACCCUGGCUUGCCUUCUCCUCUGAUCCAAACUACCGCAAGAAGCUGCCGAAAAUCCCCAUUGGUAUUUUCUGCCAGUACCAAGACUUCGAUAAGAAGGCUACCAAGCUUCUUAGCCAGCCCCAAAACGUUGAGAAAAUUGAUGGAGCACUUAGUUUCUUGCCACACCAUCUGCAACUGGAGCUUAUGGAUUGCUGCAAUGGCCUAGUGCUCUGCAUGCAUAGGAGCAUGGAUUGGAGCAGGCGUACAAUUACUUGCCACUUCAUUAUGUGCAACCCGGCAACACAAGAGUGGACGAGGCUUCCUGAUACUCGUCCUUACCAAGAACACGAUGUUUGUGAAGCUAUGUUGGCUUUCAACCCGUCAUGUUCCCGGCAGUUCUACGUCUUCAACUUUAGACGGAAUCCUUUAUCUUCAUUCUUUAGUGGACUUGAGGUGUUUUCGUCUGACCUUUCAACAUGGCUCGUAUAUGAUGCAUGGUGGAAUUCCGGGAUACGCACUAUUAUUGGUUACCCACACUUGUUCAUAGAUGGUUCAUUGUAUCUGUUUAGUCUGCGGCAGAACUCAGUGGAGAGGAUCCUGGUACUGAACGGCUUUGAGGCAAUGAGUUCUCGCAUACCGCCUAAUCGUCGAACUAUUAAGUUGCCUUGUGACCAUUCUGUUGAGCCUCUGAAUGGCCUUCUUGUGCAUAUGUACACCCGCGGUUACUUUGGCAAAUCUCGGGGGGCCAUUUACUAUGCAUUGCCAGAGGAGGAUGGGCUUGCGGUCCAGAUCUGGAGUCUUGAUGUUUCUGGGCCUUGCAAGUGGACUGUGAAGUAUCAUCUUAGUAUGAGGGAUGCAUUUGGACGGAACGACCUUGCUCACUAUGACUCUGCUCAACAGUGCUGGAAUUGCGCGUAUGAGAUUGCUGCUAUUGACUUGGAGAGAGAAGCUAUCUUCCUGUUUGACUGUCGGGCGAACAAGCUCCGUUCAUACGCCAUGAGCAAUGGGGAACUUCAUGAACUCGAUGAAAUUGAACAAGAUCAUGAGCAUGUCUAUGAGAAGUUCUACCACUAUGUGGCGUGCUACUCAAGGCUUCCAGCUUAUGUGCCUUUACCUCGCCCACAUUUGUUGGAAGCGAAGAGGCUUGAUCGGCGGACGUGGCGGUCGAAAUUGCUAGCAAUUGUUGGAAAAUCAAGCUGGAGAUAA